AAUAGCCUAACGGCUGAACCAGCAACUUGGAGGAAUGUAUAGUGAAAGCUGCUUGCACUAGUUACUGGUGUAAGAUCGACUAUGUUGACUAAAGUUCUAGAUAGAGUUAUGAUAAUGACAUUUUCUAUCUAUGUGUCUUGACCAAAUCACGUGCCAGCAGUCGCGGUAAUACGUGGGAGACUAGUGUUAUUCAUCUUUAAUAGGUUUAAAGGGUACUUAGACUGUUGAUUAAGCCUAAAAAGGUACUAAACAACUAGAGUUUUAUGCAAGAAGGGGAGUACUAAAGAGUGUAGAGAUGAAAUUCUGUCAUACCUGACUUGGAACAGACAACGGCGAAAGCGACCUUUUAUGUAAAAACUGACGUUGAAAGACGAAGGCUUAGGACACCAACAGGAUUAGAUACCCCAGCAGUCUAAGCAGACAAUGAUGAAUGUCAUAGAUUAGAAGUAUAAUUUUUUGUCUAUAAAUGAAAGUGUAAGCAUUCCACCUCAAGAGUAAUGUGGCAACGCAGGAACUGAAAUCAUUAGACCGUUUCUGAAACCAGUAGUGAAGUAUGUUGUUUAAUUUGUCGGUCCGCAAAACACCUUACCACAAUUUGAAUAGUUUUAUUUUAAACAAAAGAUUUUUUUUUAAGAGAAUAGUUUAAAUUAAUAUUACAAGCGUUGCACGGCUGUUUUCAGUUAAUGUCGUGAGACUUUGGUUAGUUCCAUAAAAUUAACGUAAACCCUUACUUUAUUUAUCAAUAUAAAGUAGUUCACCGCUAUAUUGGAUAUGAUAAAAGGGAAUAAGACAAGUCCAUCUGGCCUUAAUAUUGUGGGCUAUAGACGUGCCACAUAAGCCUCUACAAAGGGAUGCAAAAUUGUGAAAUUGAGCUAACCCCAUAAAAUAGGAUAAAACAU
rnacentral:rRNA from 1 species